ACAAAGCGCUGGAGCCGGAACCGGCUGUUCACGAAGUAGGACAAGGGGCGGACAAUGUGGGGAAGAAGCGGAAGCGGAAGAAUAAGAAUAAGAAUAAGAUUUCAUUUCUUGUUGCUCUUUUCUCAUCGUAUUUUACUUUAUUUUUGUUUUCCCCCGCAUUUUGAAAAUAGCAUCUUUCUUGACACAAUAACAAAUAUGAAAACGAUACACAUUACCACCACCAGAUGAGACAUCGAUAUGCACAUCACGUUCCGCAAGGAUUAAAAGGGGAAAAAAAAAAUAGAAAGAAAACGAAAGAAAGAAAGAGGACAGCGAAGAAAAUGCUCAAAAUAUACGAUUGAGAUUUACUCAAACGUUGCGCGUUGCGGGGAUAGAAAAGGGUCUGUUCGUACAGUACAUGUAGAUUUGGGAGAUCGGAGAACAAUGGGGAGUUGGUGACAGAUUAUUGAAAACACGGAGCAACAUUGCAUAUGUGUUGAAAGCGAUGGAGAAGAAUUUGAAAAGGGGUGCGUUGCGCAACAUUAAGAACAAUAAAUAAGAAUGAAAAUAGGGGU
rnacentral:sRNA from 2 species